GAGACGCUGGCGGCGUGCCUAAUACAUGCAAGUCGAACGAACUCUGGUAUUGAUUGGUGCUUGCAUCAUGAUUUACAUUUGAGUGAGUGGCGAACUGGUGAGUAACACGUGGGAAACCUGCCCAGAAGCGGGGGAUAACACCUGGAAACAGAUGCUAAUACCGCAUAACAACUUGGACCGCAUGGUCCGAGUUUGAAAGAUGGCUUCGGCUAUCACUUUUGGAUGGUCCCGCGGCGUAUUAGCUAGAUGGUGGGGUAACGGCUCACCAUGGCAAUGAUACGUAGCCGACCUGAGAGGGUAAUCGGCCACAUUGGGACUGAGACACGGCCCAAACUCCUACGGGAGGCAGCAGUAGGGAAUCUUCCACAAUGGACGAAAGUCUGAUGGAGCAACGCCGCGUGAGUGAAGAAGGGUUUCGGCUCGUAAAACUCUGUUGUUAAAGAAGAACAUAUCUGAGGAGUAACUGUUCAGGUAUUGACGGUAUUUAACCAGAAAGCCACGGCUAACUACGUGCCAGCAGCCGCGGUAAUACGUAGGUGGCAAGCGUUGUCCGGGAUUUAUUGGGGCGUAAAGCGAGCGCAGGCGGGUUUUUUAAGUCUGAUGUGAAAGCCUUCGGCUCAACCGAAGAAGUGCAUCGGAAACUGGGAAACUUGAGUGCAGAAGAGGACAGUGGAACUCCAUGUGUAGCGGUGAAAUGCGUAGAUAUAUGGAAGAACACCAGUGGCGAAGGCGGCUGUCUGGUCUGUAACUGACGCUGAGGCUCGAAAGUAUGGGUAGCAAACAGGAUUAGAUACCCUGGUAGUCCAUACCGUAAACGAUGAAUGCUAAGUGUUGGAGGGUUUCCCGCCCUUCAGUGCUGCAGCUAACGCAUUAAGCAUUCCGCCUGGGGAGUACGGCCGCAAGGCUGAAACUCAAAGGAAUUGACGGGGGCCCGCACAAGCGGUGGAGCAUGUGGUUUAAUUCGAAGCUACGCGAAGAACCUUACCAGGUCUUGACAUACUAUGCAAAUCUAAGAGAUUAGACGUUCCCUUCGGGGACAUGGAUACAGGUGGUGCAUGGUUGUCGUCAGCUCGUGUCGUGAGAUGUUGGGUUAAGUCCCGCAACGAGCGCAACCCUUAUUAUCAGUUGCCAGCAUUAAGUUGGGCACUCUGGUGAGACUGCCGGUGACAAACCGGAGGAAGGUGGGGAUGACGUCAAAUCAUCAUGCCCCUUAUGACCUGGGCUACACACGUGCUACAAUGGAUGGUACAACGAGUUGCGAACUCGCGAGAGUAAGCUAAUCUCUUAAAGCCAUUCUCAGUUCGGAUUGUAGGCUGCAACUCGCCUACAUGAAGUCGGAAUCGCUAGUAAUCGCGGAUCAGCAUGCCGCGGUGAAUACGUUCCCGGGCCUUGUACACACCGCCCGUCACACCAUGAGAGUUUGUAACACCCAAAGUCGGUGGGGUAACCUUUUAGGAACCAGCCGCCUAAGGUGGGACAGAUGAUUAGGGAGUCGAC
rnacentral:rRNA from 2 species